rnacentral:tRNA from 1 species
UGGCCGUUAUCUCAGCUGGUACAGCAGCCUACUCUUAAUCUGCGGGUCGGAGAUUCGAUCUCUCAACGGCUCA